rnacentral:rRNA from 1 species
AGAUUAAGUUAUUAAGGGCGCACGGUGGAUGCCUUGGCACUAGAAGCCGAUGAAGGACGUUACUAACGACGAUAUGCUUUGGGGAGCUGUAAGUAAGCUUUGAUCCAGAGAUUUCCGAAUGGGGAAACCCAGCAUGAGUUAUGUCAUGUUAUCGAUAUGUGAAUACAUAGCAUAUCAGAAGGCACACCCGGAGAACUGAAACAUCUUAGUACCCGGAGGAAGAGAAAGAAAAUUCGAUUCCCUUAGUAGCGGCGAGCGAAACGGGAAGAGCCCAAACCAACAAGCUUGCUUGUUGGGGUUGUAGGACACUCUAUACGGAGUUACAAAGGACGACAUUAGACGAAUCAUCUGGAAAGAUGAAUCAAAGAAGGUAAUAAUCCUGUAGUCGAAAAUGUUGUCUCUCUUGAGUGGAUCCUGAGUACGACGGAGCACGUGAAAUUCCGUCGGAAUCUGGGAGGACCAUCUCCUAAGGCUAAAUACUCUCUAGUGACCGAUAGUGAACCAGUACCGUGAGGGAAAGGUGAAAAGCACCCCGGAAGGGGAGUGAAAUAGAACCUGAAACCGUGUGCUUACAAGUAGUCAGAGCCCGUUAAUGGGUGAUGGCGUGCCUUUUGUAGAAUGAACCGGCGAGUU